rfam:Acanthamoeba castellanii str. Neff unplaced genomic scaffold scf7180000082935, whole genome shotgun sequence.
GGGUCCGUGGCCUAAUAGAAAGGCGCUUGACUUCGGAUCAAGAGAUUCGGGGUUCAAGUCCCCGCGGGCUCA